CUGCUGAAGGACACAUGAUUGCAAUGGCCAGAAUCCAGAUGACUGUUAUAAUGAUGAUAGCGGUUGAGGUGGUCAACUUCUGCUUAAAUGGAUAAACGACGCAUCGAAACCUGCAGCAAAGGCAUCCAGGAAUGUAUGUGGAGAAGCCAUUUAGAGAAUGCUUAGAGAGGUGGCAUAAGGGAGAUGAAAGUGACAGUUCAUCUCCACAUCAUCUUACCUGUCUACAGCAAUUGCAACCAGAGUGAAGAUGGAAGCAGAGACAGAAAUUCCUUGGACCAUCCCACUCAUCUUGCAAACCAUGCUCCCAAAUGGCCAUCCUGGAAGGAAACAGAACAAUAUAGCAGACUACUCCAUUGCCAACCAUACAGAGCAGGAAGAUGAGGAGGUAAGAGACAAUGAAGACAGCUGCCACGGAAGGCUGAUGAUGGUAGAAGUCCACGUAAGAGACAUUGCCUUCUAAGUAGAGGUGCACUGUGUCCAUAAAGAUGAGAUGGCAUAUAGCACUAGUGACAAGAAAACACCAGCAGUUUUAGUGGCAAGCUCCUGAAGCAGAUUGUGAUGUUGCUGUUGCAUGGCAUGUGGCUGUAGGAAUAUUCACAUGGUAUCCGGUGAAGAUAAUUAUCCUCUCUUCUCUACGUACUAGAGCAAGUAUUCCCAAAAGGUAUCCUGCCCAGGAAGAGCAUGAACCCAGAAACUCGAGAGUUUCAGCAUUUAACUUCAUUGCCUUGCUGUGACGCUGCACUGGAUAGACUUGAAAACUGGAUUUUGGCUAUGGGAGACUACAUGAGAGAUG